GAAGAUAUAUGUGUGGGAAGUUCAGUCUAACCCUCCGGUUCUCAUUGCAAGGUCUGUCUCCUUGGCUUGCCCCGCUCACUUUCUUUGCUAUAGCUUCUUACACAUUUGCUGCAUGCAUUCUCAGAUUGUCCCAUGUCCAGUCGAAAUCUCCAAUUAGAUUAACCGCCAUGUCUUUUGAUGGAAGGUAUGAACUCCUGAUCCCACUUUUCUUUCUCUCUCUAAUUUACACGACGUUGGAGCGAGUAAAUCAUAUUAAUCCAUGUGGGUGCAGCACCAUUCUCUGCUGCUGUGAAGAUGGAACAAUAUGGAGAUGGGAUGUGGUUGCAAGCUCUUAGAGAUUCCGAAAUGGUAUUUUGUAGAAGUCAGUAUAACUUUUUAAUAUCCAUGAACAACAUGCAACUAUGAAACUACGAGCUUCAUUUUUAAAUUAUAAUUUAAAAUCCCUGUCUUCUUUUCGAGGAGGAUAUAGAAGAAUGAUAAUUGAUAGAGAAUAUGACAUACAGAUUUUUCUACACAUGCAUUAACUCAUAGCAGUGUACAUUUUUCCUUCAGUUAAAUAUUUGAAUGAGUUUGUUCUCACAAAUGAAUAGUGCCAUACUACCAUUUCGUUUUGGUUGUUUUUUUAGCAUGGAUAAUUUAUGAUAAAUACAAUUGUUGAGGUUAAUAGCUUUUGUGCUGUUGACUCUGAACAUGGGUUAUUGGUUCAACUCAAGUAAUUUUAUUGAUCUGCCUUGAAGGAAAUUUUAUUAUUACUAUUAUUAUUAUUAAUUUUGCGUUGUAAAUCAGGUUGUUUAUUUUAUGUGUUUCAAGGUGAGUUGGGAUAAAUUAGAAGCAUUCGAAUUGAUUAGAUAAUUAGGUAAAGGAAAGACAAGGCUUUUACAAUUUAUUAGGCUCCUUAGUCCUUAGUGUUGUGUUAUAAUUGCCAUUUUAUAGUCUUGAGGGGACCCUACAUAUCGUAUGCUGUCUUCUUUUCGAGGGGAUAUAGAAGAAUGAUAAUUUGUAUGUUGCAAGCUCGUAUGCUGUAAAUCAUACGAGCUCGAGUCCUUAGUGUUGUGUUAUAAUUGCCACUUUUCUUUCUCUCUCUAAUUUACACGACGUUGGAGCGAGUAAAUCAUAUUAAUCCAUGUGGGUGCAGCACCAUUCUCUGCUGCUGUGAAGAUGGAACAAUAUGGAGAUGGGAUGUGGUUGCAAGCUCUUAGAGAUUCCGAAAUGGUAUGUUGUAGAAGUCAGUAUAACUUUUUAAUAUCCAUGAACAACAUGCAGCUAUGAAACUACGAGCUUCAUUUUUAAAACGAAGCCAGUCUUUUGCGGAGAACAAACAUUCUAUGACUGAUCAAGAAUAUGCUACUGAGUCCGUACAAGCUUCAACUCAAAACAUCAUUAGUCUUUAGUUUAUUCUGCCAGAAAUUUCUAUGUAAGAUAACAUUUCGAUGAAAUUUAUUUUGUACCACUCAAAUGUGCGUUUCUUUUUAUCUUAUGCUAAUGUGUUAGCUUUUUUAUUACUUCUUUUAUGUUAAGGGAAACCUACAACCAUCCCACUAUAAUGUACUUCCUUUGUCCCAGCUGACUUUACUUUUUUUUUU
rnacentral:lncRNA from 1 species